rfam:TPA: Bos taurus chromosome 5, whole genome shotgun sequence.
UCCCUGGUGGUCCAGUGGCUAAGACUCUGUGCUCCAAAAGCAGGGGGCCUGGGUUCAAUCCCUGGGCAGGGAA